CAUUACUGUCUCCUUCGAGCCGGAGUCGAACCAGCGACCUAAGGAUGUCUUCUCACAAGGAAGUUAGCUACAGUCCUCCGCUCUACCAACUGAGCUAUCGAAGGGACAUGAGUUACUUUCUUGCCCCUUGACACUGAACACAACUGAAUCAGGGAGUUCCGCAGACAGACGGACUUGCGCAUGCGCAUUUCUCAGACCUUGAGACGUUCAGGGACGCGGGUCGUUUUACGCAUGUGCACGACCACCGUUCUGCCCCCGGCAAUCCCGAGCGGCCUAGAAAGGUCCCAAGCAGUGUUCCCAGGAGGCCUAAGCUCUGGCUCUCCUCCGUCGCCUGGCCUCCCUAUAGUCCCUUUUCUUUUGUCACUAUUUGUUGUCGUCCCGGUGAGUAUAGAGAACUAACUCAUGCUGUCAUCCUGAAAGUCCCGAGGACAGUCCUCAUGGAUGGGCCAGUGGCGCAAUGGAUAACGCGUCUGACUACGGAUCAGAAGAUUGUAGGUUCGACUCCUGCCUGGCUCGAGCUUUUGGAGCUGACUUUAAGCUAGGUCAGCAAUUGGCCCCUGAUGUUACCGUUGUGAACUUCCUGGAAACUAAACCUCCCCCAUCACACAUUCUUCCACCCCCAUACCCCCCUUCAUGCCGGCCAACUCAUCAAGACUUUGGGUACAGUUCCAGUUUCCGCAAAAAUACUUUACCUAAGUGGGCCACUUCUUGGUGUGAUGUGACCAGCUGCCUCAAGGUCCUGCCUCAGUGAUGGACUAGACCCUGGAAUUCUUAAGUCAAAUAAACCCUUUCUUCUCAAAGUU